rnacentral:lncRNA from 1 species
UUUUUUUUAAAUCUACAAACUGAGUUUGUAGAGAUCAUUGGCUACUAGGCUUUGGUAAAAUGACAUUAAGUUUUAUCCUUUCGUUUUACCUUUCUCUUCUUUUCUUCCUCCCACUGCUCCACCUCCUCUCCUGUACUCACUGCUCUGGUUUGGAUAUGAUUUGUCCCCCAUAGGUUCAUGUACUGUAAGUUUUACCUUCCUGCUGUGAAGUUACCAUGUUGAGGUGGUAGAAUUUUAAGAGGUGGGGCCUUGUGGGAGGUAAUUCAGCCAUUAGGGCAUCACCCUUGGAGGGGAUUAAUGCUGGCCUCUCAGAGGAAGAAUGGGGGGCAGUAGCUCAGUAGAAGAGCUACCAUGUGUGAAGCACUGGGUUUGAGCCUCAGCACCACAUAAAAAUAAAUAAGUAAAAUAAAAAUUAAAAUAAUUUUAUAAAAAGAGAAAGAGUGGCCUCUCCCAUUCUCUGUCUUCCUUUCUUACCAUCCUAUGGAUCCCCAGCCCUCCCCUGCCACACACACACACCCAUAUUUCUCUUUUUCCUGCCAAGAUUCCAUCCAACAUGCUGCAAUUCAGCCAAGGGGGUUCUCACUUAAAACUGAACAGAUAGAGCCACGUAAUUUUGGAUUUUCAGCUUCUAAAACUAUGACUAAAUAAACCUCUUUUUUUUCAUAAUUUAACCAGGCUCAGGUAUCUUUUUAUAGCAACAGAAAGGAACUAAUACACCACCCAAAUUCUCUCUUACUCUUCUCUCCUUUUCCCUUUCUCCUUUCUCUAAUGGAUUGUCUUCUUUUAUUUUUCAUAUAAUCCAACAAGUAUUCACUGUCUAUUAAUUUGAACCACUCAUGUUUAGCCAAGAUCUUUUAAGCCAUUUAAAAUAUAGGAGAAGGAGAUAACAUGGAUUUAAAAAUAUAAAGAAAUUUUAAACCCUUGGACUUGUGUGUGUGUGUGUGUGUGUGUGUGUGUGAGAGAGAGAGAGAGAGAGACAGAGAGAGACAGAGAGAGAGAUAAGAAUUGAAACCAGAGCCUCAAAUAUAUUAUGCUUCAUUGAACUACACCCCCAACACUAAUUUCUUGGAUUCUUACAUACCUCUUCUUUUUAGGGCAAAACCUAAAUUCAAAGACAUAAUAACAGAACUUUUAAAAACUACUUUAGGCCUGCUUCUUUUCUACUUGAUAUUUAGAGAACAAAGGAUCCAUAACACAGUCAGACCACCUCUACCACUGAGAACAACGUUUUAAAAAGUAGACAGUAUAUGUUUUGAGAAGCAUCUGCUUGAACACAUCUGAAUAACAGGGGGGGAAAGCCUGGCAUGGUGGCGCACCCUGUAAUCCCAGCAGCUCUGGAGGCUGAGACAGGAGAAUCCUGAGUUCAAAGCAGCCUCAGUAAUGGCGAGGCACUAAGCAACUCAGUGAGACCUUGUCUCUAAAUAAAAU